rnacentral:rRNA from 1 species
GUGAGGAAUAUUGGUCAAUGGACGGAAGUCUGAACCAGCCAUGCCGCGUGAAGGAUGAAGGCGUUCUGCGUUGUAAACUUCUUUUAUUUAGGAAGAAACCACCGAUUUCUAUUGGUGUUGACGGUAUUAAAUGAAUAAGCACCGGCUAACUCCGUGCCAGCAGCCGCGGUAAUACGGAGGGUGCGAGCGUUAUCCGGAUUUACUGGGUUUAAAGGGUGCGCAGGCGGUCUUAUAAGUCCGGGGUGAAAUACUACAGCUCAACUGUAGAACUGCCUUGGCUACUAUAGGACUUGAAUCGAGUAUAGGUCAGCGGAAUACAACAUGUAGCGGUGAAAUGCAUAGAUAUGUUGUGGAACACCGAUUGCGAAGGCAGCUGACUGGGCUUGAAUUGACGCUCAGGCACGAAAGCGUGGGUAGCGAACAGGAUUAGAAACCCCUGUAGUCC